AUUGAACGCUGGCGGCAGGCCUAACACAUGCAAGUCGAACGAGUGGCGGACGGGUGAGUAAUGUCUGGGAAACUGCCUGAUGGAGGGGGAUAACUACUGGCAACGGUAGCUAAUACCGCAUACCAUCAGAUGUGCCCAGAUGGGAUUGGCUUGUUGGUGGGGUAACGGUUCACCAAGGCGACGAGCCCUAGCUGGUCUGAGAGGAUGACCAGCCACACUGGAACUGAGACACGGGCCAGCGUCCUACGGGAGGCAGCCGUGGGGAAUAUUGCACGAUGGGCGCAAGCCUGAUGCAGCCAUGCCGCGUGUAUGAAGAAGGCCUUCGGGUUGUAAAGUACUUUCAGCGGGGAGGCGUUACCCGCAGAAGAGGCACAGGCUAACUCCGUGCCAGCAGCCGCGGUAAUUC
rnacentral:rRNA from 1 species